GUCAUAAAAUUUACAAUGUUGCUUUCAACAAAAACACAUUCAGCCUGCCUGCCUGCUGCCUGCUGCCUAGAGCCUGGUCCUGGCAUACCCGAUUCUUUUGAUGCCUUAUUUUUAUGAGCGAAGACAUCAAUUUUCGCACAGCAACAGCAACUACAAUCUAUAUACAUAUACAUUUAUACAUAUACACAUACAAAUACACAUAUGUAUAGAUUGUAUAUUUAUCUGCGUAUUUCUCUAUUUCUUCAAUACUUCUUCAGCGAUAAAUCCUCGCACUCAACAAAAUACAUAAACGAUUUAUAGUUGAACAAACGGCACAAAAUGCAACAAUAGCCAAAAAAAAAAAAGAAGAAAAAUACAGAAAUACAAAAAAUACAACAGCAAAAAAAGCAAGACAAGGGGCACAGUAGCUAACGGCCAGCGCCUCAGCUAUAGGAACAAGUUUUCCUGCUGUUACCAAAUCCCGGCGCAACAUAAAUCUUUAAUGGAAAAUCUUGGCAGCAGGCGAAAGACCAUAUGCAGCGAGGGCAGUCCAAACAGAAACUGAUAUACCAAAAAAUAAACAAGCAACAAAGCUUUUAGUCUCUAGCUUUUGUGGCUUAUAAUAACGAAUGGAAUGAGAGACUCAGCUCGUUGCCCUGAUCCAGAAUAUAUAGCUUAAGAGCCUGAUUUCACAUUUUCAAUGGAUCUAUGUACCCAAUAAAGGAGAGGAAAGAAAAGUUGAACCCACAACUUACUUGACAA
rnacentral:sRNA from 1 species